rnacentral:rRNA from 1 species
UUCUAGAUUUUUUCUUCUCUCGCUCUGGACGUACCGCUGUAGACGCUAGUCAUACAGAAUUUUUUUUUUAUGGCUCAGGAUGAACGCUGGCGGCGUGCAUAACACAUGCAAGUCGAGCGAUCUCUUGGGAGAGAGCGGCGGACGGGUGAGUAACGCGUGGGUAACCUGCCCUGUACACACGGAUAACAUACCGAAAGGUAUUCUAAUGCGGGAUAACAUACGAAAGUCGCAUGGCUUUUGUAUCAAAGCUCCGGCGGUACAGGAUGGACCCGCGUCUGAUUAGCUAGUUGGUAAGGUAAUGGCUUACCAAGGCAACGAUCAGUAGCCGACCUGAGAGGGUGAUCGGCCACACUGGAAGUGAGACACGGUCCAGACUCCUACGGGAGGCAGCAGUGGGGAAUAUUGCACAAUGGGCGAAAGCCUGAUGCAGCAACGCCGCGUGAGCGAUGAAGGCCUUCGGGUCGUAAAGCUCUGUCCUCAAGGAAGAUAAUGACGGUACUUGAGGAGGAAGCCCCGGCUAACUACGUGCCAGCAGCCGCGGUAAUACGUAGGGGGCUAGCGUUAUCCGGAAUUACUGGGCGUAAAGGGUGCGUAGGUGGUUUUUUAAGUCAGAAGUGAAAGGCUACGGCUCAACCGUAGUAAGCUUUUGAAACUAGAGAACUAGAGCGCAGGAGAGGAGAGUAGAAUUCCUAGUGUAGCGGUGAAAUGCGUAGAUAUUAGGAGGAAUACCAGUAGCGAAGGCGGCUCUCUGGACUGUAACUCACACAGAGGCACGAAAGCGUGGGGAGCAAACAGGAUUAGAUCCCCUGGUAGUCCACGCCGUAAACGAAGAGUAAUAGGUGUCGGGGGUUACCCCCCUCGGUGCCGCAGCUAACGCAUUAAGACUCCGCCUGGAAGCC